AACUAGUCAGGUAGCCAGUCAGGUAACUAGCCAGGUAGCCAGCCAGGUAACUAGCCAGGUAGCCAGUCAGGUAACUAGCCAUGUAGCCAGCCAGGUAACUAGCCAGGUAGCCAGUCAGGUAACUAGUCAGGUAGCCAGCCAGGUAACUAGCCAGGUAGCCAGCCAGGUAACUAGCCAGGUAGCCAGCCAGGUAACUAGCCAGGUAGCCAGUCAGGUAACUAGCCAGGUAGCCAGCCAG